rnacentral:misc_RNA from 1 species
UUUCCGUAGGUGAACCUGCGGAAGGAUCAUUACAGGACUCGCAAGACUCCUUCACCCUGUGAACCUCACUACAAGCACGUUGCUUCGGCGGGUGUCCCGGCGAGGGAAAACCCCCGCCGGCAGCCUACUAUACUCUGUCUCUUUGCGUUGGCAUCUCGAGAAAAAACAAACAAGUUAAAACUUUCAACAACGGAUCUCUUGGUUCUG